GCCGCGAUAGUACAGUGGUGAGCAAGCGCCAUUGGAAAGAGUGAGACGCGGGUUCAACUCCCGCCGCCAGUUGUGGUU